CAUGUGCAAACACCUAGUUGCGGGUACAGCAACGUGCAGUAAACUUGGACAAAGUACUGUGACUAUGUGUCCCAGUCCACCCAGCUGUAAAUGGGUACCUCGUAAGGAUGGGAAAGCUGCAUAACUCGGUGCACCUUGUGGCAGCACGAGUUGUAUACUCCCCAGGGAGUUAAGAUUGAUAAGAUGAGGUGCCAUUGAGUUUGAU